UACAGAGGGUGCAAGCGUUAAUCGGAAUUACUGGGCGUAAAGGGUGCGCAGGCGGCUCCGCAUGUCGGGCGUGAAAGCCCCGGGCUUAACCCGGGAAUGGCGUCCGAAACUAUGGAGCUGGAGUGUGGCAGAGGGAGGUGGAAUUCCACGUGUAGCGGUGAAAUGCGUAGAGAUGUGGAGGAACACCAGUGGCGAAGGCGACUUUCUGGGCUGUAACUGACGCUGAGGCGCGAAAGCGUGGGGAGCAAACAGG
rnacentral:rRNA from 1 species